rnacentral:rRNA from 1 species
UACGGAAGGCAGCAGUGGGGAAUAUUGCACAAUGGGCGAAAGCCUGAUGCAGCUAUGCCGCGUGUAUGAAGAAGGCCUUAGGGUUGUAAAGUACUUUCAUCGGGGAGGAAAAAACAAAACUAAUAAUUUUAUUUCUUGACGUUACCCGAAAAAGAAGCACCGGCUAACUCCGUGCCAGCAGCCGCGGUAAUACGGAGGGUGCUAGCGUUAAUCAGAAUUACUGGGCGUAAAGAGCACGUAGGUGGUUUUUUUAAGUCAGAUGUGAAAUCCCUGGGCUUAAACCUGGAACUGCAUUUUGAAACUGAAAAUACUAGAGUAUCGUAGAGGGAGGUAGAAUUCUAGGUGUAGCGGUGAAAAUGCGUAGAUAUCUGGAGGAAUACCUGUGGCGAAAGCGGCCUCCUAAACGAAUACUGACACUGAGGUGCGAAAAGCGUGGGGAGCAAAACAGGGAUUAGAUACC